GCCUGGAUAGCUCAAUUGGUUAGAGCUUGGUGCUGAUAAAGCCAAGGUUGUAGGUUCGAUUCCCAUAUAGGACA